rnacentral:rRNA from 1 species
AUUCCAAUCGAACUUGGAGAUAGCUGGUUCUCUCCGAAAUAGCUUUAGGGCUAGCCUCAAGUGAUGAUUAUUGGAGGUAGAGCACUGUUUGGACGAGGGGCCCCUCUCGGGUUACCGAAUUCAGACAAACUCCGAAUGCCAAUUAAUUUAACUUGGGAGUCAGAACAUGGGUGAUAAGGUCCGUGUUCGAAAGGGAAACAGCCCAGACCACCAGCUAAGGUCCCAAAAUAUAUGUUAAGUGGAAAAGGAUGUGGCGUUGCCCAGACAACUAGGAUGUUGGCUUAGAAGCAGCCAUCAUUUAAAGAGUGCGUAAUAGCUCACUAGUCGAGUGACACUGCGCCGAAAAUGUACCGGGGCUAAACAUAUUACCGAAGCUGUGGAUUGUCCUUUGGACAAUGGUAGGAGAGCGUUCUAAGGGCGUCGAAGCAUGAUCGCAAGGACAUGUGGAGCGCUUAGAAGUGAGAAUGCCGGUGUGAGUAGCGAAAGACGGGUGAGAAUCCCGUCCACCGAUUGACUAAGGUUUCCAGAGGAAGGCUCGUCCGCUCUGGGUUAGUCGGGUCCUAAGCUGAGGCCGACAGGCGUAGGCGAUGGAUAACAGGUUGAUAUUCCUGUACCACCUAGUAUCGUUUUAAUCGAUGGGGGGACGCAGUAGGAUAGGCGAAGCGUGCUGUUGGAGUGCACGUCCAAGCAGUAAGGCUGAGUGUUAGGCAAAUCCGGCACUCAUAAGGCUGAGCUGUGAUGGGGAGAGGAAAUUGUUUCCUCGAGUCGUUGAUUUCACACUGCCGAGAAAAGCCUCUAGAUAGAUAACAGGUGCCCGUACCGCAAACCGACACAGGUAGUCAAGAUGAGAAUUCUAAGGUGAGCGAGCGAACUCUCGUUAAGGAACUCGGCAAAAUGACCCCGUAACUUCGGGAGAAGGGGUGCUCUUUAGGGUUCACGCCCAGAAGAGCCGCAGUGAAUAGGCCCAAGCGACUGUUUAUCAAAAACACAGGUCUCUGCUAAACCGUAAGGUGAUGUAUAGGGGCUGACGCCUGCCCGGUGCUGGAAGGUUAAGAGGAGUGGUUAGCUUCUGCGAAGCUACGAAUCGAAGCCCCAGUAAACGGCGGCCGUAACUAUAACGGUCCUAAGGUAGCGAAAUUCCUUGUCGGGUAAGUUCCGACCCGCACGAAAGGCGUAACGAUUUGGGCACUGUCUCAACGAGAGACUCGGUGAAAUCAUAGUACCUGUGAAGAUGCAGGUUACCCGCGACAGGACGGAAAGACCCCGUGGAGCUUUACUGUAGCCUGAUAUUGAAAUUCGGCACAGCUUGUACAGGAUAGGUAGGAGCCUUUGAAACGUGAGCGCUAGCUUACGUGGAGGCGUUGGUGGGAUACUACCCUAGCUGUGUUGGCUUUCUAACCCGCACCACUUAUCGUGGUGGGAGACAGUGUCAGGCGGGCAGUUUGACUGGGGCGGUCGCCUCCUAAAAGGUAACGGAGGCGCUCAAAGGUUCCCUCAGAAUGGUUGGAAAUCAUUCAUAGAGUGUAAAGGCAUAAGGGAGCUUGACUGCGAGACCUACAAGUCGAGCAGGGUCGAAAGACGGACUUAGUGAUCCGGUGGUUCCGCAUGGAAGGGCCAUCGCUCAACGGAUAAAAGCUACCCCGGGGAUAACAGGCUUAUCUCCCCCAAGAGUUCACAUCGACGGGGAGGUUUGGCACCUCGAUGUCGGCUCAUCGCAUCCUGGGGCUGUAGUCGGUCCCAAGGGUUGGGCUGUUCGCCCAUUAAAGCGGUACGCGAGCUGGGUUCAGAACGUCGUGAGACAGUUCGGUCCCUAUCCGUCGUGGGCGUAGGAAAUUUGAGAGGAGCUGUCCUUAGUACGAGAGGACCGGGAUGGACAUACCUCUGGUGUACCAGUUGUCGUGCCAACGGCAUAGCUGGGUAGCUAUGUAUGGACGGGAUAAGUGCUGAAAGCAUCUAAGCAUGAAGCCCCCCUCAAGAUGAGAUUUCCCAACUUCGGUUAUAAGAUCCCUCGAAGAUGACGAGGUUAAUAGGUUCGAGGUGGAAGCGUGGUGACACGUGGAGCUGACGAAUACUAAUCGAUCGAAGACUUAAUCAA